GGCCUUGACAUACUAAGAACUUUCCAGAGAUGGAUUGGUGCCUUCGGGAACUUAGAUACAGGUGCUGCAUGGCUGUCGUCAGCUCGUGUCGUGAGAUGUUGGGUUAACGUCCGCAACGAGCGCAACCCUUUUCCUUAUUUGCCAGCGGGUAAUGCCGGGAACUUUAAGGAUACUGCCAGUGACAAACUGGAGGAAGGCGGGGACGACGUCAAGUCAUCAUGGCCCUUACGGCCAGGGCUACACACGUGCUACAAUGGUCGGUACAAAGGGUUGCUACCUCGCGAGAGGAUGCUAAUCUCAAAAAGCCGAUCGUAGUCCGGAUCGCAGUCUGCAACUCGACUGCGUGAAGUCGGAAUCGCUAGUAAUCGCGGAUCAGAAUGCCGCGGUGAAUACGUUCCCGGGCCUUGUACACACCGCCCGUCACACCAUGGGAGUUUGUUGCACCAGAAGUAGGUAGUCUAACCGCAAGGAGGACGCUUACCACGGUGUGGCCGAUGACUGGGGUGAAGUCGUAACAAGGUAAGCGUAGAUGA
rnacentral:rRNA from 1 species